CUAGUUUUGAACUUUCACAUUAGUUUUAUAAAAUAUUUGCUUUCGGUGAUAUGUUGUUGUAAUAAAUCGCAUAAACAAAUAAAAUAAUAUAAUGAAAUUAUAAUUUAAUGCAAUAGUGUUGAUAAUAUAGCACAAAUUUUUCAGGUUAAAUUCAAACGAGAUACAAAGUGAAUCAUUGACAAGAAAGUGAAAGAUCAUCGGAAUCGGAUGAAGGACAUUACAUACAUUGAAGGAAUUUAGAGGACAAAAGUUAAGAACUACCUGUAACAAGAAAGUAUAUAAUUUCUCAUAUCACGUCUCCGAUGAUCCGCUUUAAAUGUGAUUUCGCCGAUUUUAUAAUGUUCUCUCAUAAGCCUCCAAAAUCAGAAGGAGGAAUCAUAUAUCACUUAUUUAUAAAAAUUUAUCUUCUUAUUUACAAAAAUUAAUUUUUGAAUUUCUUUUUUCAUGCGAGAUGAGUUUUUUAAAUUUAAUUAAUCAUGCUCCAAAAUUAAUUCCGAAUAAAUAUCGUGGCAUAAUCUUGGAUCUUUUUAAGCAAUUUACAAAUGCAUCUGUGAAAAGAUUAAUAGUUAAUUCAAUAUAGCGGAUCGCCUUUAUUGUAAAACAUACGAAUAAAUGCCUUAUAUAUGAA